ensembl:lncRNA CAVIN2-AS1 CAVIN2 and TMEFF2 antisense RNA 1
CCUGGAUGACAAAGCAGUCACCUACUUGAACACUGCUAAUUAUGAAGUCAGAAAGAGGAAAGUUUGCAGAGUUUUGUAUUGGCAAUCAAACAUUCAGCCACAGGUCACAGUCUAGAACCAGACACAUCAGUGUCCUCAACUGCAAAGUAGCCAGGAAGCAGCAUCCCAUAACACAGUCCUAUGUCCACUGUUUUGGAGUUACUCAAGACCUAAGUGUUUUCUUGGAACUGUGUUUGUUACUGAGGAAGCCACAAAUUAAAUAUAAGUCUGCUCUUCAAGAGGUUACAUUCCAGUUAAGGAGAUUGCAUAUCCAUAUUUCCAGAAGUACCAAUGUGAUUGAAGCAAGGGAAAUUGCUAUGGGAUAUCUGACCAACUGGAUAUUCUGCUGGAAGAGCAGAAUGCACUUCAAAGACUAGCCAAUAAAACUCUCAUGGGCUCCUGACACACUGACCUCUGUCAGUUCCUUCAGCACACCAGGCUAAUCCCCAGUCUUGCGCCUUUGGACCAGAGGUUUUCUUUGCUCAGAAUACUGUUUCAACAGAUCUUUGCAUAGCUGGCUCUCGCUAUUUGACUAAAAUGUCAAUCCUCAGAGAGGAUGUAAGCUGUUUAAAGGCAAGGACCUUAUCUGUGUUACAUGCUGUAUUCCCAGGGCUCAGACAGAGCAUGACCUAUCGUAUGUACUAAAUAAAUAUCUCCUCAUACUGUAAA